UGUACUCUCUAUCCGUGUUAUUUUAGCCUUUUGAUGUGAGAUGGAAUAGAGGGAGCCUGACAUGGCUCAGGAUACCAGGACCUCAACCAGCAGAUGGGGAGGGAGUCAAUUCCAGGUUUAUGAAGGUUUCUUCAAAUCAAGGGCAACCUGAAUCACUGUGACAGCUUCUCUGAAGUUUCAACCGCUAAGAAGUAGUAAUUGUCAUUUGGAGGCUUUCGGGGUGAAAAAGCAAAACAGAACCAAAAGAGCCUGAACAUGCAAUCCACACAGCAAAAGAAAUGUUUGAGGUCUUAAGGGCAAUGAGAAGCUAUUGCCCCCUAGCGAGACCAGUAAAGCACGAAGCUGCCUGGAAGCAUCAUCUCUCACAUACAAAAGAUGUGCAACCCAACGCAUUCUCUCUUAAAAUAUGAGUCCUGAAAGAAGACGGUGACAUCAAGGCUAAGAGCUGUGUGAUAUUGAUCAGGUUACUUGCCUUCUCUAAGCCUCACCAUUCUCAUCUGUAAAAUGGUAUUACUCAUUUCAUACAGCUAUUGUGAUGAGUAGCUUAAAUUCCUCCACUUGGUAUAGUAGGAAGGCAUGGAUUGAGUAUUCAAUAAAUGGAGGUUAAAUAACUUACCCAAAGUCACAGAGCUGGUCAGUAGAGAAGACAGGAUUUGAAAUUUGGGCCUCUGAAUACUGCAUGAUUCAAAAAAUUCUAGAAAAGGCAAAUCACAUCUAUGGUGAUAGAAAGCUGAUUGGUUGCCUGGGGCCUGGCAUGGAAGGGCUUGAGGGAAUUUUGGAGCAAGUGAUAGAAAUGCUCCAUAUCUUGAUUGUGCAUGAGCACACCUGUCAAAACUCAUCAUGCUUUAUGUAAAACGAAUGCAUUUUAUUUGUAAAUUAUACCUCAACAAAGUUUCUUAAAGCCCAUAAGCCUUUAAUGCCAAACUCCAAAUGCUCUGACAACCAAAGGAUAUUGGUGACUGCAAAACCUGACCUAGCCUAA